rnacentral:rRNA from 2 species
UACCUGGGCUUGACAUACACCAGAUCGCCGUAGAGAUAGGGUUUCCCUUGUGGUUGGUGUACAGGUGGUGCAUGGUUGUCGUCAGCUCGUGUCGUGAGAUGUUGGGUUAAGUCCCGCAACGAGCGCAACCCUUGUUUUAUGUUGCCAGCACGUGAUGGUGGGGACUCAUGAGAGACUGCCGGGGUUAACUCGGAGGAAGGUGGGGAUGACGUCAAAUCAUCAUGCCCCUUAUGUCCAGGGCUUCACACAUGCUACAAUGGUCGGUACAGCGCGUUGCUACAUCGUGAGGUGGUGCUAAUCGCUUAAAGCCGGCCUUAGUUUGGAUUGGGGUCUGCAACUCGACCCCAUGAAGUCGGAGUCGGUAGUAAUAUGCAGAUCAGCAAUCUGUCCCCACCCCUUC